AGGCACCGACGCGUGUCAGACGCGGCGCAUCCAGCAUGGACGCCGUAGACCCGGGGCAGGCCCGGACCACAAUUUGGUGGGUCGCCUGACCUUCCCUGCACUGACACAGCCGUAGCCCCUCACCACAUCGUGGUACCGUAGGUGCCACAGCCACUUGGCUGCGCUGGUGACAUGAGUGGGGUGAGCGCGUGACUUAUAUAAGGACAGAGGUGGCACAUUCGAGCUCAUUCGUCGCCGGAACAAGAUUUCUUUCCGCUUCGCAGGAACCCAUCAAAAGCAAACAUGCUGAGGAACGUUCUUAUAGCCGCCCUGCUGCUGGCAGCUAUCUUCUGCAUUGCCUCGGCUCAGUUCGGAUAUGGCCGUGGUUUCGGAUACGGCCGUGGCUUCGGCUACGGACGUGGUUUUGGCUAUGGUCGUGGUUACUAUGGAGGGUUCGGCCGCGGCUACUACGGAGGUUUCGGACGUGGCUUCGGCUACGGAAGAGGAUUCUAUGGCUGAACUGCACAACCGCUUUCAAGAAUGAAAACCACAAAGCCCAUGUCCAUAGAAGCACAAUUUCAAGCUUACUAUUUUUCGAGUUUAUAAUAAAACGAGUGAUCUUACUCUGGAA